ACCAUGGCAUAUCUGCUUGCUGUAGGAAUAUGGCAUAAGCAAGAAAUGGAAUUUUAAACCUAAUCUGUCACUACACUGAAACGGUCAUCAAGGACUUCCAGGAAUACCUGCCUCCAUGCCGACCAUACACAGCAAGUCCACCGGCUGGAGACCUUCCGUCUGCUGAGGUUCUGCUACCCAACCCUGCUGUAAUUCUCCGGUGCCUGAGAUCCCUUCAGCUUAUGGCCUGGCAUCCAUUGGCAGAUAUUCAGAUAAAGUCACAUGGCUCACCAGAGACACAGAUUUCGCUGAAUUUGUGCAAGAAAAAAAACCACAAAGCAAACUACAUGAGAGGAUUUUCAUGAUUCCAGAUCACCCAAGGAGGCACAGGACUAUCUAACUGUGGGGACUGCUGAUCAAGUAGGAUAAUAAUUAGUAGAUAUGUUUAAGUGUGCUUUAUCUUGAAGGCAAAGCCAUCAUACCUGAAUAUUUUUGUAAGACACCAUGUAAGUAAAGUGGAAAGAAUUUCUACUCUUGCCCUUGAAGCCAUUUGGGAAAGUAUUGAAUAGUGUCUGAACCCCAAGAAGUUGGGGGAAAGGGAAAGAAAGAACAUUAUUUUGUCAGAACUUUCCCUCGGGUAAAGGAAAAAAAAAAUCAAACAAACGAAGCUUUCAUUUGGUCUUUGCGCUAAAACUUCUAUACCUUCAUAUAUGCAUGAGCAGAGAUAUGGUUCCCCAAAGUCUGUAGAACUGUUCAGUCCAGGACAAAUUCCCUUCAUGUAACCUGGUAAAUUUUCAGUAAUAUUUUCUCUUCUAAGGUAUGCAUCCUGGUACAUAAUGUGAAGAGGAAAAGAAGGAUUUAGUAACCAGAAUUUCAAUAACUUGCUUUGUGUACCACAGUUCACAGAACAUCCCAGUACAAAUCAUCAGAGAAUCAAAAUACAUCACCAGUGAAAAGGACACUAUUUCUGAGCUCAUUUCUAUCAGCAACUAUUCAAGGACAAC